ensembl:lncRNA novel transcript
ACCAUAAUCCUUUCCUUUGCAGGAGGUGUCUCCAUUUGUGAUUAUACACAUAAUUCUGUGAUUAUUUGAUAAAUUAAUGAAUCAUUGAAUUAAUAAAUGAACGAGCAGUUGAAUAGCAAGGUCAGAUGGAGGCUAGGCUAGAAUCAACACAGAAAACUGAGAAAGAAGUCCACAAGGCUGAGAAUUUGGGAGGCUUGCAAAGCAAUCAGAUCUCUAGAAAGGGAGAUACAGCAGAGAUGCAAGAAAAGCCCACGUAUGGCUCCUGCAUAUGAUUUUUUUCGAGAGACUCAGAUGUCUUCAGUAAAUCCUCUUUCUGUCUGGACUUAUCUGAGUCACUUUCUAUUCUCUGCAGCUGAAUGUUUCCUAGGUUUCUACACUCCAGACAUCUCUCUGCAAAACGAGAUUGAAAGAGACUCAGUCUUCUACCCAGAAGAUGCAGUGGCCUCCAUGAGUACACCACAGCUGAAUCUACACUGACCCAACAUCCAGGAGAAGAAUGCAAAUACAGCUCCCCAGCCAGCAGAUUGGCCUUUAUUUUAUUUUUUUGAGAUGGAGUCUCGCUCUGUCGCCCAGGCUAGAGUGCAGUGGCACAAUCUCGUCUCAUUGCAACCUCUGCCUCCCAGGUUCAAGCGAUUCUCCUGCCUCAGCCUCCCAAGUAGCUGGGAUUACAGGCGCCCGCCAUCAUGCCCGGCUAAUUUUUGUAUUUUUGUAGAGACAGGGUUUCACCAUGUUGGCCAGUCUGGUCUUGAACUCCUGACCUCAGGUGAUCUGCCCGCCUCGGCCUUCCAAAGUGCCGGGAUUACAGGCAUGAGCCACCUUGCCCGGCCCAGAUUGACCUUUAAAAACAUGAAUGUUGGAAAGCAUCCUGGGGACAGAAUGAACGAUUUGCAUCACCACUGAACUCAGGCCUGAGUGAAAGACAGUCUGGCUUCUGCAGUGUGUCAUGGAUGUCCCAGUUCUCCAAUAUGAGAGGGAACUGCACCUUUCUUCCAGGCAAGUCUGAAGGCUGGAGAGAAACGGUGGUACCAGAGGCUACCCCUUGGAUCUCAUUAGCUAAGUGGACCUGAUGACAGGUGUUGCUGGCACUCCUCAGGAGGAAUUCAGGUUGCAUCCUUCACUGCAGGAACAAGUCAUUCACACCAGAUCCAUCUCCUUGUACCACUCUGCCACUCUCUGACGGGGCCGCCGCCAAGUGAGGUGGAGAUGCUUGGACCCCAGGAUAUCAUUCCACUCUAAUAUGACUCAAAGAGAUCUGCUAAAGGAAAGUUUUCUCUGACCUUAUGAAAAAGAGGCACUUGAAGAGAAACUGUCUGCUCCCACACUGGCUCCUGCUUCCUGCCCCUGACCAUGGUGUAAGGAUGUGAUGAUUGAAGCUAUGACAGCUAUUUUGUGACCAUGAGGGCAACGCCAAGAGAAUCACAGGGAGGCCAGCCCAGAGAUGUGACAUUGUUGAGCUGCUGAACCAGGACCAGCAUCUUCAUACCUCUAGACAUAUUGUUAUGUGAGAAGAACACAUCCUUGCUUAUUUAAGACAACUUUGUUACAUUUCCUGUUACUUGUAGCUACAAAAAAAAAUUUUUCUUUUUUUUUUUUUUUUAGACGGAGUCUUGCUCUGUUGCCAGGCUGGAGUGUAGUGGCGUGAUUUCUGCUCACUGCAACCAACCACGCCCGGCUAAUUUUCGUAUUUUAGUAGAGACAGGGUUUCACCAUGUUGGCUAGGAUGGUCUCGAUUUCCUGACCUCAUGAUCUGCUCACUUCAGCCUCCCAAAGUGCUGGGAUUACAGGCAUGAGCCACCACUCCCGGCUGCUACAAACAUUCUUAAUUGAUAUAAGGCAUGAAUCAAGCAGCUGAGUCCACAGAAGGGAAAAGGAAAAGUAGCAUUACCUCUGAACCUACUUCCAACUACACUAAGAACUACUUCCAACUAAACCCCUUGCCUGAUCCCCAUGCUCCGUUCCAUGUCAGUCUUCUCUAGUCUUCUCUCAUUCUGUAUUCCAGCCACAGCAGCAGUCUUUCCGUUUCUCCAGGGCAUCAUACUAGCCCUUGCCUCAGGGCCUUCACACAAGCUGUGCCCUCCAUCUGAAAUGCUCAUCCCCUGCUCUUUGCCUGUCUGUCUUCUUCACAUACUGUCAUCAUUCAGGUCUCAGAUCAAAUGCUACCUCCUCCCAGAAGCUUUCCCUGAUAAUCCAUUUUAAAGCAGCCCUAAUUUUCUGCCUGGGACAUAUUUCUCUCUGGACUAUAUUUAUGUGUUGACUUCUUCACUUUCAGUCUUUCCAAUCAACCCUGUGAUCUAACAAUAGCAGCUCUGUGAAUUCAUUUGCCAUUAUUUUCCCCAUGUUUAGCACAUGCCUGAU